UCCUUGUAUGCCUGAAGUUUUCAGAAGGCAAACAGGAAAAUGCUGGGGGAACAGAUGAAAGCAUUUGCUUUCUCACCCUUGGAGGAAGAGCUGUGGGAAGGGACAGGGAGAUGUCAAUGCAGGAUUCUAAACUUGCUGUGGAUGAGCAAAGAAGGCACCUGAAGAGAUUAUGCCUGUCUACAACACCUCUGGUAAUUUUGGGAGUACUCUGGUCACCCUGGGGAGACUGCUGACACUACACAGCAUGAAGGCCAGCCUCCCUAGGUGCUCUGGAUCAUAUGAAGCUUCGGAAAUGCUGUUGCAUCUUCCUCCUUUCUUUAUUUUCACAUGACAAAGUUUUUGUGCCAAGAAUCUUACAGCUUGGAGUUCAAGAUUCUUUGCUUGUCUACAGCAGUGUGUGGCACAAGGAAGUCCUUCAGUUUCUCUUUGCCAAGCAUUAUCCCAGGCAUAAUUUCUAUUUAAAUAAAGCUGUGGCGAAUGCAUCGUAUUGGUGAUGUCUACCUUUUCCAGUAUGAACAAAAAAACCUCUUCCUUGGAACGUGGCUGGAAGAAAACCUUCUCUUUAUAAAGAGAACAGGGAGAGAACACUUGAGUUGUCUAGUCUGGAGAAAAGGAGGUUGAGAGGUGACAGCAUUUUUCUCUGCAACUUCCUGAGGAAGGGGAGAGGGAGGUGCCUGGCUGUGCUCACUGUAACUGAUGAUAGGACACACAAGAACUGCACAAAGCUGAGCCUUAGGUUUGGCUCAGGCUAGAUAUUAGGAAAAAUUUCUUUAC